CCUGCCGCCAGCCAGCCCAGGGAGCUGGGAGCACACGCACACGCGCGUUUGCACACACGCACACGCGUGUCACCGGCGGAGGCUGUUAAAGGGACACGGUCACCCGCAGCGAUAAUGGAGCGCGCCGGGAAAGCGCCGGCAUCGGCACCGGGAGAGGCGAGGGCAUGGCAGGCUGGAGAUCCUGGUGCAGAUCCUGCUGCAGACCCCGCUUACCCCGACAGCCGCCUCAGCCUCUGCUGACAGCCCCUGGGGCGCAGCGGAGACACCCGACCCUGUGCCAGCACCCAGGGGUGCAGCAGGCACCCAGGACAAGCCGCUGUACCCUCAUGCUGGGGGGAAUCCCCUGCCCAAGCCACGUCUGGCACUGCGACCUGCUGGGGCUUGUCCCAUUGCUGUCCCCCAUUUCCCAGCACCCACCCAGCACCCCCAGUUUGGAGCCAGCUUCCCCACUGCUCCCCAAAAUGGAGGGAACUGCUCAGCAGCACAUUUAA